UACUCCACCACAAAGAGACUUUGAAGAUAGAUAUAACAACGAUGAACUUGGUGAUACAAUACUACAGUGUGAAGGAAUACCCAAUGGUAUGCCAGAUGUUGACUUAAAUAAUGACUUGGAUGACAACAUCUUAACAUACGUACGAGCAGAUUGUGAAGGCACAUGGAUACCUACAUAAUAUUAUAAGCCUUUGAUUCAUACAUCACAUGGAUAACUUUAGUGAUGAAGAAGCUGGUGUUGA